GUCCGUAAAGGUGGAUGAGUGGUGUUUGGUUUGUCACGUGUGGUUGGCUGCGGCGUUUGCAACAACUUCCAUGCUUUCAGACCUCUUCAGUUGUGCGGCAAGGCUUGUAUCGCCUUGUCAUAUCGUGGGUUUUCUGUGUUGUAUACCUAAUCAAUGGUAUCGGUUGGAUUGAUCAAUGUUUCAUUUCGUCUGUCGUCGCAUUCGCGGCGUGAGACGAACCUCGAUGCGGUCUCUUUGGCCCACCUCGUCGAAGCACAUGCUUUGACGUUGUGGCACAUUGAGCAUUGCUUGGUCUCUUGUAUACGGAACAUAUAGUGGGCAUGGAUCUAACGAUUCUUGUUUGCCCUCAUGUUAGCGUAACGCUUCUCUUACACGACUUGCUCCACGUUUUAGCUCGUACGGACGUGGU
rnacentral:misc_RNA from 1 species